rnacentral:ncRNA from 2 species
AUCAUUCCGUGCAACUGGCGAACUUAAGUGGAUAACCACGAGGAAACACGGAAUCAGCUUCCUGCCGCUCGCCUGGGCCGCGUCA